GAUGAACGCUGGCGGCGUGCCUAAUACAUGCAAGUCGAGCGAACAGACGAGGAGCUUGCUCCUCUGACGUUAGCGGCGGACGGGUGAGUAACACGUGGAUAACCUACCUAUAAGACUGGGAUAACUUCGGGAAACCGGAGCUAAUACCGGAUAAUAUAUUGAACCGCAUGGUUCAAUAGUGAAAGACGGUUUUGCUGUCACUUAUAGAUGGAUCCGCGCCGCAUUAGCUAGUUGGUAAGGUAACGGCUUACCAAGGCAACGAUGCGUAGCCGACCGGAGAGGGUGAUCGGCCACACUGGAAGUGAGACAGGGUCCAGACUCCUACGGGAGGCAGCAGUAGGGAAUCUUCCGCAGUGGGCGAAAGCCUGACGGAGCAACGCCGCGUGAGUGAUGAAGGUCUUCGGAUCGUAAAACUCUGUUAUUAGGGAAGAACAAAUGUGUAAGUAACUAUGCACGUCUUGACGGUACCUAAUCAGAAAGCCACGGCUAACUACGUG
rnacentral:rRNA from 1 species